GCGGGAGACAUAAUUCUUUGCAUUAUUUUUACAAUCGGGGAUCCAAAUCCUCGUUUCCCUUCUCAUUUUGCUGCAUCACCUCCCGAAGAACGUCGAGGAAGGCUCUCUUCCAUGACUAUUUUGUUUGCACAUAAGAAAUUUCAUCACAUUCACGCUCAAUAGCAUUUGUCAUUAACCAAAAUUUAAAAAUUUUCAUAUGGGUUUCUGUGAUUGCCAUUGAAUAGCAGUUUUGAUUUAUUUCUUUGCAGAUUUGCAUCCAAAAAUGGGUUUGCCAAGAUUUAUUCGGCCUAAGGGAGUGGAUGAGCAGCUAAGCCCUAAUCUUUAUGUAGCCAAUUGCGGACCAUCCGUUGGACUUUCGUAUGAGAUAAUUAAAUCAGUUUUUCGCAAAUUUGGACAAGUGAAAGGAGUGUAUGCUGCUGAUGAGAGUGGUGCUCGUGUUAUUGUUUCUUAUGUUGAGGUGGGUUCUGCCCAAGCUGCCUUGAAAGCUUUAGAUGGACAUUCUUGCCCUGAUCUUGGAGGACGCUCUUUGCACAUUCGUUUUUCUGUUCUUCAACCAACUUCUGAGGGUCAGGUGAAUGAUUCCAUCCCAGUGUCGCUGGUGGCUUCAGAACUAAGCAUCCCUGGCCUUAACUUGUGGCAUGACUUUGUUAAUGCUAAAGAAGAACAGGAAUUGCUUGCAGCUGUUGAUGAUAGGCCUUGGAACAACCUUUCCAAAAGAAGGGUUCAGCAUUAUGGAUAUGAAUUUUGUUAUGAGACAAGGAAUGUCAAUACGAAAGAACAGUUGGGUGAGCUUCCAUCAUUUGUUUCUUCCAUUCUUGAAAGGAUUUCAUCGUUGCCAGACCUAGGAGAUUCUGCAAGUUUAGUCUUGGACCAACUUACUGUUAAUGAGUACCCGCGAGGGGUGGGCCUGUCCCCACACAUUGACACCCAUUCAGCAUUUGAGGGUUUAAUUUUUAGCCUUUCAUUAGCAGGGCCUUGCAUAAUGGAGUUCCGGAGAUAUUUAGAUGGUUCAUGGCUUCCUAAAACUGCAUCAAGUAAUGAUAUGAAAGUUAAAAAUCUUGAAAAUGGCUCAAAUUUAAUAAGGAGGGCUAUCCACCUUCCUCCUCGUUCUAUGGUUCUAUUAUCUGGGGAAGCACGUUAUGCUUGGCAUCAUUACAUCCCACACCAUAAGAUUGACAUGGUAAAUGACAAUGUGAUUAGAAGGGGCUCAAGAAGAGUAUCUUUUACAUUUCGUAAGGUACGAAAAGGUCCUUGCCAAUGUGAAUUUCCCCAGUAUUGUGAUUCUCAAAGAUAAUAGAAAAUUCUUACGGUGCUGUCUGAGGAUUCAUUCGAAAACCCUGCAUUCUGAUUAUGACAAUGACUAGGGUGACUGUCUGUAAGAGAACACAAUCAUGAGAUGGACAGUCUCGUGGUCUGCAAAUAGAUGGGGUGAUUCUUCUUGGAAGGAACGGUUAGUUCGAGAACAGAGAUGAACGGCUUCCAGGAUCACAAAUCGAUUGGGUUUUUUUUUUUUUAUUUGAAGUAAAAGAGGACAAAGGUGAUCCAUCUUGCUAACAGAGCGGGUCCCAUUUUGAGAUUGAGGUUGGGAGCCUGAAAAAGCACUUUUUGAAAAAAUAUCAUUUUAAUUAACAUAUUUAAAGAGAUUUUUUUAGGAACAAUGUCAAACAGGCAAAUUGCCUGAAGUGUGAUGUGAAGAUGGGUGAGGAUGAUGUUGAGCAAUUUUUGAAGUUGUAUCUGCAAAUAACAUGGCUGAGUUUGCAGCAGUUUAUCAUUUCACAUUGAACCAUUUUAUUGCCAAAUUUUACCAUAGUUGUAACCUAUGUAUAAAUGACAUUAAUUGCUAACAAAAAGCCGUAUAUUUUGUCCUAAAAUUUUAAUGUAUUCAUCAUUAUUUGAUACUAGGUAGAUCUAUUUGUAUUAGUAACAAGAAGUUUCAUUGCCCG
rnacentral:misc_RNA from 1 species